AUUGCUCUGAAGAAACAACGAAC
rnacentral:piRNA from 1 species